rnacentral:rRNA from 1 species
CCUACGGGAGGCAGCAGUAGGGAAUAUUGCUCAAUGGGGGAAACCCUGAAGCAGCAACGCCGCGUGGAGGAUGAAGGUUUUAGGAUUGUAAACUCCUUUUGUGAGAGAAGAUAAUGACGGUAUCUCACGAAUAAGCACUGGCUAACUCCGUGCCAGCAGCCGCGGGAAUACGGAGGGUGCAAGCGUUACUCGGAAUCACUGGGCGGAAAGAGUGCGCAGGCGGGCUUGUAAGUCAAAUGUGAAAUCCUGUAGCUUAACUACAGAACUGCAUUUGACACUAUGAGUCUAGAGUGUGGGAGAGGUAGGUGGAAUUCUUGGUGUAGGGGUAAAAUCCGUAGAUAUCAAGAGGAAUACUCAUUGCGAAGGCGACCUACUGGAACAUUACUGACGCUCAUGCACGAAAGCGUGGGGAGCAAACAGGAUUAGAUACCCGAGUAGUC